GUGCUUGCUUUGGCAGCACAUACACUAAAAUCAGAAUAAUACAGAGAAGAUUAGCAUGGCCUCUGCAUAAGGAUGACAUGCAAAUUCAUGAAGCAUUCCGUUUUUAA